rnacentral:rRNA from 1 species
UACGUAGGGUGCGAGCGUUAAUCGGAAUUACUGGGCGUAAAGCGUGCGCAGGCGGUUUUGCAAGCCGGAUGUGAAAUCCCCGGGCUCAACCUGGGAAUGGCAUUCGGGACUGCAAGGCUGGAGUGCGGCAGAGGAGACUGGAAUUCCUGGUGUAGCAGUGAAAUGCGUAGAUAUCAGGAGGAAUACCGAUGGCGAAGGCGGGUCUCUGGGCCGAUACUGACGCUGAGGAGCGAAAGCGUGGGGAGCGAACAGG